ACAUUUUGAGGACGCAUGAGCGAGCGAAUUAUUCCACUGAUUAUGUGCGGCGGUGCAGGCACGCGGCUGUGGCCUGCUUCGCGUGAAGGGCGUCCGAAGCAAUUCCUUCGCCUAUUUGGUUCGAAUUCGACGUUUCAGGACACGAUGCUGCGCGUAAGUGAUCCGAAGCUGUUCGCGCGGCCCAUCGUCAUUACCAAUGCGGCCUAUCGCUUCAUGGUGCUCGAACAGCUCAGCGAAAUCGGUCUCGAAGCGGAUAUUCUUC
rnacentral:misc_RNA from 1 species